rnacentral:rRNA from 1 species
UGGGGAAUCUUGGACAAUGGGCGCAAGCCUGAUCCAGCCAUGCCGCGUGAGUGAAGAAGGCCUUAGGGUUGUAAAACUCUUUCGCCGGUGAAGAUAAUGACGGUAACCGGAGAAGAAGCCCCGGCUAACUUCGUGCCAGCAGCCGCGGUAAUACGAAGGGGGCUAGCGUUGUUCGGAAUUACUGGGCGUAAAGCGCACGUAGGCGGGUUUGUAAGUAGGGGGUGAAAUCCCAGGGCUCAACCCUGGAACUGCCUUCUAGACUGCAAGCCUGGAGGUCAGGAGAGGCGAGUGGAAUACCGAGUGUAGAGGUGAAAUUCGUAGAUAUUCGGUGGAACACCAGUGGCGAAGGCGACUCGCUGGACUGAUACUGACGCUGAGGUGCGAAAGCGUGGGGAGCAAA